CUUUUCAGCUCAGCAGUCAUACCACUUGACCUUAUCCUCAGAGAAACACUUGUACAUGUGUUCAAGGAAGCAUGCCUAAGGAUGUUCAUGGAGAAUUGUUUAUAAGGAGGAGGUGAGUUGAGGAUCUUCCUCCAUCACCAUCUUGAAUUGGAAUUGGGAACCAAAAACUCUCUUUUGGAAUCAGUCAUUCCCAGUCCAGUCCCCAUAUUCAGAAGUGUCAAGUCUCUGAUCACAUGCCAAAAUAAAGACUCCCUUUUGUUUGGAUCAUAAAUUAUUUUAACACCAGAAAAAUAUUAAAACUAGAAAGGAAGAAAGGAACAUUCUUGUUUUGGCAUGUCACCUGGGGGAGCCCUGCCAUUUGGAAAGAAGCACCCGACAUGGCACCUUUGGAUGUGACUCUGUGACUCUGGACAUAGGGAUGGAGCACUGGUGCUCAAGGCCUGGCCGGUGGCUGCAGCCCACCCCAGACUGGGGUCAUAAACCUUAAAGCCCUAAAUGUAACAAGAUGCUCAGUCUAACUCAUAGUACACUUUUGUUGCCUAUAAAUUUGGCAAAGUUUUA